CCUACGGGUGGCAGCAGUGAGGAAUAUUGGUCAAUGGGCGGGAGCCUGAACCAGCCAAGUCGCGUGCGGGAUGAAGGCCCUACGGGUCGUAAACCUCUUUUGCCGGGGAGUAACGCCCGCCACUUGUGGCGGUCUGCAGGUACCGUGCGAAUAAGGGCCGGCUAAUUCCGUGCCAGCAGCCGCGGUAAUACGGAAGGCUCGAGGGUUAUCCGGAUUCAUUGGGCUUAAAGGGAGCGUAGGCGGGCGUUCAAGUCAGCGGUAAAAUGGCGCGGCUCAACCGCGCCCCGCAGUUGAAACUGGACUCCUUGAGUGGACGAGAGGUAGGCGGAAUGCGUGGUGUAGCGGUGAAAUGCAUAGAUAUCACGAGGAACCCCGAUUGCGAAGGCAGCCUGCCGGGGUGCGACUGACGCUGAGGCACGAAGGUGCGGGUAUCAAACAGGAUUAGAUACCCUAGUAGUC
rnacentral:rRNA from 1 species